AGGGUUUAAUGAAGAAAUUCAUUCGAUGUUCUACACGUGUAACUGUGGGAACUAUCAAAAAAUUUCUAAGUUUAAAACUAAAACUUCCAAGUUCUUAUGAGUUGGAUGUGCUGUGCAAUGGUGAAAUUAUGGGGAAGGAUCAUACUAUGGAAUUCAUCUACAUGACGAGAUGGCGACUAAGAGGCGAAAACUUUCGGUGUCUGAACUGCUCAGCUUCGCAAGUCUGCUCUCAGGAUGGCCCUUUGUAUCAGUCAUACCCUAUGGUAUUGCAGUAUCGACCAAGAAUUGAUUUUGGUUAGACCAAGGGGUCUAGAUCUCACUGAGAUGAAUCCUGCACUAUUUGUUUACUCGUCAACAGAUUGCACAGUGAACGGUAUGUGGACUAGAGGGACACAACCAGAUUUUCAGCAUGCAAAUAAGGCCAUUUCUGUCUCUAAAUUGUCAGUUGCAUUCAUGUUGUUUCUAUUAAGAGCAAACCAAGUGCCAUUCUGCUACUGAACUGUCUGCAUAAGGUAUUUGUGCUGUCUCACAAUGUGCAAGUCAUGGUUGAAAUCAGUUAGGUGUGUAGCCAUGAUUCCGCCUUCUGAAUAUUUUGCUUGCCUGUUUCAAGAUUGUUCUAAUGUUUAAUUAUACUAGUAAAAUGGCUCAAUUUUUGUGGUAUUGCAAUUUUCACACUUAUUUUAUUCUUGUUUAACUAGAGUACUGUACAAGAAACUAAUAAUCAUAUCUUGAAAUUAUUUUGUAUGGAAAUAUAUUUAGAAAAGUGGUUUUGAGCCACUGUCCUGUUCUUGGUAAACUUUUUGUGUAAAAAACAGUUAAUUCUUGAGUGUGCAAGUCCUUUUGAAAAGAAUUCCAAUUAUUCUUUAACAUUAGAGCACAUCAUAAUUGUAGACAUUCUAAGCAUCUGUCUUUGUAGUCUACCAAUUGCACAAGGAAGGCAUGUUAGCCCUCCAGAUUGAAAAUGUAUGUGACUUCUUGGAGAACUGAAGUUAGAUUCACAACCAUUUGAAAUGUUGGCAGCUGAUUACAUUUACUUCUAAUAAAAUUAAUGUGUAAGUAAGGUUAAUCUUUCAUAAUGCCUUAUGACAAGCAGGUGCUGUUCCAUGAAACUUCAUUGUGUAGCCAAUUUUAUUUAUGUAUCAUUACAUUGUUGCUGUCAUUUAAUGAGUGCAUUGUUUCUCUUUUUAAGUUGGCCUUAGGUAUAUGUCAUUGUGGCAUGCAGAAGGUUAUGAUGAUUUUAAGUAUUAGGAUUUUUAGAGCAGAUAGUAGCUAUUUUAUGGAUUUUCAAAAGUCUCAAAACAGUUGUAGAUUAAAACUGUUAGUUACCUAUCACAUUUCCAUAUGCAUAAAAUAGACUAAAUGCAGUGUAGAAGAUAAAUAUGCUAACCAAAAUUAAUGGUUUGAAAAUAUUUUAGGUCCUAUAGUAAUCGGGGAAAUGGGAUUAUUGUUUUAUACAUGAGUUCAUUAAAGUCAGAACUAUAAUAAUGUCCUUGAUUUUGCAGUUUUGUUAAGUUUUCCAUUCAUUUUGGGAUUAGUCUGCAAGUCAAAGAAAGUCUUGUUACCUUAAAUUAUAUGAAAAACUUCAUUUAAAACCUUUUCAAACUUACAGUUGUUUUCAAAAAACUUCUUUGGAAAUUGUUAUAUUAAUUGCUUUGAAACAAAUUAACCUCUGAAACUUAGGAAAACAUCUUGAAAGUUAGGAAAAAUAUUUGUUUUAGAAAUCUGACAUGAGCACAAUCUGUGUGUUAAACACAUAGUUUAGUUUUUAUACUGUAUACAUGGUAGAUGUGUUACAUUUUCCAGUAAAUGGAUCACAAAUUAAUGCCUUCUGAAUUUCAAAAUGCUUCUUAGAAAUAAGACUGUACAACUCUAAGAAACAUACAGAGUACAGCUAAAUCUUGACUCAUUUCACAGUGUAAAAGGCUUGAAACUUCAUAAUUAUCUUUUCCUUAUGUCUUUUUUUUCAAGUCAAAAAAUCUAUAUUAAGUUUUUCUGUUCUUCUGACUUUUGUGGAAAAGGUUAUGGCAAUACUUUCUUGAUUUUGUUAGAUUGUUCUUGGAAGGGCUCACAAACAGAAUUUAAAAGGCAGAUUUUCAUUAACUCUUUAAAUGGUUGGAAAAGACCAUUACACUCAACCAAAAACUGAAUUUAUUAUCUAGCUAUGGAAAUUAUUUUGCUAUGCUGUGAAACUCAGUUCCCAGACAUCCCUAAGAACUUUUUAAAAAUUAUUAUAAACUUGUCACAUUUAGGACAGUGAUUAAAAUAGUGUUUUACAUAUGGAAGUUAAUCUUAAUUAACUUAAUUCAAAAUGAACAUGUAAGAGUACAUCUAAAAAACCACAGGUAAGACUUGCAUGUUUUGACUCUCCAGCCAAAACUUAUGGCCAUAAAUGAGUUUUAUAUACAAGAUCUCUUUAAAUUUGGUCUGUUGCCUGAUUAUAUGCACUUUCACUAUUUUCCAAGGAAAUGUAUAGGAAGCAAUUACAGAACUGAGAAUAGUUUUAUAUAAAACUCCUUUAUUAACUACUAAUGCAUUAGAAUUUUUAUUGAAAUGUAAUGGAAUAUGUGCCAAAACAUGUGAAAACCUUACAUAAAGAAAGAAUCAGUUGUCAUUUAAGGAAAGAUACACACUUUUUGAUGGCCCAAGUGACAAGGGUAUUACUAGUAGAACCGCAGACUUCAGCUGACCUCUUUUGGUAUUUAACUAUGACUUUCUAAGUAUGGGACUACUUUUGUGUCUAGUAAUACACUAACUCCCCAUCCCCAGUUCAUUAUCCACUAAGUCCAGUUGUAGAAUUUGAAAGAAACCAGGUAUGGAAAAAAUGUCCAGGCAACUUUUGUGGUUAGCUUUUUUAAAUUUAGGGUGCUUAUAAAGCAAACUCUUUAUAUAAAUAACCUAUAGGAAUAAUCAUCUGAAUCUUUAAAAUUGGAGAAUACAUAAAACUAAAUUAAGUUUUUCUCUCUCUGUUGUCUCUUUAAGCAAUAAAUUGAAAGAAUUUUAAUUCUAUAAAAGAUGUUGUUAUCUGUUUUAUCUGCCUUAGAAAUUAUACAUAUAAAAUGGUCAAGAAACCUUGGGUAUAAAGAAUUCCUGUGGUUUAUAAACAUCAUGUUAAUUAAUCACAUCAGUUAAUAGAGAAAUCAAAAUAUGGCCUUUUCUCUAGAUUGACAAUACACUUUUAAGAAGUAUGAAAACAUAAACUAAGAGGCUCAUUGAUGAGGUAAUGUUCAGUCCAGGCUGUGGGCAGUAUGAAUCAUGUCUUUUAACUGUUUUUAGAAAAGUGUAUUAUUUCUUUAUUUACUGAACAUCUACCCCAUUCUGAUAUGCCACAUUUUAUAAAUGCAAUGAAUUUGCUCAACUACAUUAAACACUCAAAUGUAAUCUAAAUUUAAACAUUAUUUAAGGAAAAAUAAGUAUGUUAUAUAAUAUUGUGAACUGUUUAGCUUUACUGAAAUAUUUAAGAGAAAGUGCCUCAUUGCUAAAGUGCAUUUCUGUUUUAGAUUUACUGCAUAAAGUUUGAUUUAUCUGUACCUGUCUCUUAUGAAUGGUUUCGUAUCUAAAUAGGCGCUAGUAAGUUAGAGUACUCUCUUUUUGAAAGAUUUUCAUAAGAAUAUAGAUAUCACCAAAGACAUUUUACUGUUAAUUAAUAACCAUGCUGAAGAGACAGUUUUAACAGUUCGGAGGUUGGAAAUUUGGAGGUUGCAAUUUAAUUUUAUAUGGUCAGGCAAUAACCUUGAUUAAUGCUGAAAUAUCACCAAAGAAAGGCUUUAAACUGAAUUUUCUUGGUGAGAUGAGUCAAACGCAGGCUUUUCUUGCAAUAAUCAGAGCACACUUCCUUUCAAAUAUGUUCAUUGUUUUUCAGCACCAUGUGACAGAUCUUAGGAAAUCCUCAAAGGUGAGAAAGAGAGAAACACAACAAAUAGCCUCCUUCUGGAUGAAAAGUGAGAGAAAUACAUACUUUGCAAAGAAAAUUGAAAUUGAGAUUUUAAGUUAUAAUUUGAGAAGUUUUUUAUUCCAUGGAAAAGUGAGAGAAAUACAUACUUUGCAAAGAAAAUUGAAAUUGAGAUUUUAAAUUUUAAUUUGAGAAGUUUUUUGUUCCAUGGAGGCAGUAUAAACUAAAAUUACAAUUAUUUGGAUUCUGGGUUCUUAGUAAUAUGAGAAAUUUUAUUAAAGACAGACUUUGGCAAAAGUAUUGACAUGCUUACUUGUAUAGAAAAUAGUAUAUUCUGUUGGACUUACGUAAGUAAUUUUUCUAUGUUAAAAAGCAAAGUUUUCAUAAGGGCCUUUUUUUUGUUUUGUUAUGUUUUUCCUUAAAAAGCAGCUCUGUCUUGUUUCUCAGUGAUUAUUAUUAUUAUUAUUAUUAAAAUUUAGCCACAUAGCCAGAUUUUGCAAAAUGGGUCACAGAACAAGCAUGUACAUCAAGAGGAAGUUCAGUACCCUCCUUAUACCUUUUCUCCUAGGGAAUUCGUGCUGUGGGCCACUUUAAAGGUAAAACUCAUAAAGUCUUUCUGAUAGGUCACUAGGUAAACCUCCUUGGAUAGGAUAAAAAUGAUGCAUACUCUGGUUUAUCAUAAGGAAUUUUCCAGCAAGCUAAGAUUUGUACCAGUACAGUGUUGUUUGGUUGGAGGAAUUUCAAAAAUGAAUGAGUUUGCCAUAACUUUAAUUUUCUGGACUAGACACACAAUACCUUGAAAUACUAUUAUUAUUUUAAGAUAUAUAUCCCUAUAGUUUGGGAAGCAGUAAGGAGUAUGUCUGCUAGAUCUUGUUUAUAAACAGUUGAAAAAUAUUAAAUACACUAGAGACUCAGAAACCAUUUCAAAGCACAAAAUAACCAGCUUUCUGGAUUUACUUGAUAAACCUAGUUCAGUAGUAUUUUGAUGGAAUACAUCAGAUUGAAAGUUCAUUAAAAUGUACUUAAAUAUACAAUACAGGGUUUUCAUUGUUUUAUUUUUCAUAAAGCAAUGUUGUUUUUCCAAUAAUUUAAAAGUGAUUCUCUUCCUAGUGUAAUACAGUUUUCACAUAUAGUGGUGUUUACUUACUGUCCUUAUGUUUUCAAAUAAAAUUAAAAUGCUGAAGCACUUUCUGUAUAGAAAGUUAUAAAAUUAAACUUAAAAAUAAUUAUUUUAAAUGCUUUUUGAAAUGUCUGUAUACUCAUUAUGCCCCUUUUUCUAUGGUUCAAAGCAGACUGAUUUCUCAGAAAUGCUUGUUAAUUUUAAUUAUCUUUAGAUCUAGAAUCAAGUAAAGCAGAUAUAUGUUAAAUACUGGGUCUAGUUUUCUUCCAUCUGAAAGAGCUUCAUGGAAUAAGAAACUAAUCUAGUACAAAUGAAGCUGAAGUAUUUCUGGGUAAUGAAGUAAUAAACAGAUUGAUUUAUCCACACACUUCACAUCAAUCACUGGAGCAGGAGUUGUACACAUUAAAAACGUAAAAGGAUCAGCCGAACAUUGUUUGGGAUCGGGGUUUUUUUUGCUGUAUUUUUUAGAAUGGGGGUGGGGGCCUAAGUGUCCUUAUGAAGCUGUGGUCCACGACAAGAGCUUGUGGGGGGAGUACCAGUGUUCUGCUGCUUUCCUGCAUCUGCGCAACACAACAGCGAUCAUCAGUUUUUAAUAGAGUAGCCCUCACAAUAAAUAAAACUAUCAUAGAAUAUAUUGUAAAGUUAUGUUGCUAAUUUUCCUUUGAAAUAUAAAAUAUUUUAAGCUUUUUGUCAAAAGUGGUAACAUCUUAAUACAAAUAAAAACCUUUUUGUGGUUGUAAGAUUUAGCUUAUAAAUCAUUCAAAUUGAAGUGAAAGAAUUACCAGGUCAUUGUUAAUGACUUAGUCUAUUAAGAAUAUAUGUAUUUUUGUAAAGGAGAAGCACUUGUAGAUAUUUAAUCAGUACAAGAUAUAUGUCUGUUUUGCAGAAAUAAAAUGCUGCUUAGAGAUUCUCUUUAAAUAUUUUUUAUUUUUGUGCUCAAAUGUAUUUUCUGUUGAUCUAUGGAAUGUUGUGUACAAAGCUGUAUGAUUGUACUGUUGGGCUAGAUACAUUUUUUUUUUUAAUUUGGACUUAGCCAAGUAUAUUUGACCAUGUUAAAAAAUAGUAUCUUUGUUAUUAAAAAUUUGAUUGAAGUUUA